UUAAGCGACUAAGCGUACACGGUGGAUGCCCUGGCAGUCAGAGGCGAUGAAGGACGUGCUAAUCUGCGAUAAGCGUCGGUAAGGUGAUAUGAACCGUUAUAACCGGCGAUUUCCGAAUGGGGAAACCCAGUGUGUUUCGACACACUAUCAUUAACUGAAUCCAUAGGUUAAUGAGGCGAACCGGGGGAACUGAAACAUCUAAGUACCCCGAGGAAAAGAAAUCAACCGAGAUUCCCCCAGUAGCGGCGAGCGAACGGGGAGCAGCCCAGAGCCUGAAUCAGUGUGUGUGUUAGUGGAAGCGUCUGGAAAGGCGCGCGAUACAGGGUGACAGCCCCGUACACAAAAAUGCACAUGCUGUGAGCUCGAUGAGUAGGGCGGGACACGUGGUAUCCUGUCUGAAUAUGGGGGGACCAUCCUCCAAGGCUAAAUACUCCUGACUGACCGAUAGUGAACCAGUACCGUGAGGGAAAGGCGAAAAGAACCCCGGCGAGGGGAGUGAAAAAGAACCUGAAACCGUGUACGUACAAGCAGUGGGAGCACGCUUAGGCGUGUGACUGCGUACCUUUUGUAUAAUGGGUCAGCGACUUAUAUUCUGUAGCAAGGUUAACCGAAUAGGGGAGCCGAAGGGAAACCGAGUCUUAACUGGGCGUUAAGUUGCAGGGUAUAGACCCGAAACCCGGUGAUCUAGCCAUGGGCAGGUUGAAGGUUGGGUAACACUAACUGGAGGACCGAACCGACUAAUGUUGAAAAAUUAGCGGAUGACUUGUGGCUGGGGGUGAAAGGCCAAUCAAACCGGGAGAUAGCUGGUUCUCCCCGAAAGCUAUUUAGGUAGCGCCUCGUGAAUUCAUCUCCGGGGGUAGAGCACUGUUUCGGCAAGGGGGUCAUCCCGACUUACCAACCCGAUGCAAACUGCGAAUACCGGAGAAUGUUAUCACGGGAGACACACGGCGGGUGCUAACGUCCGUCGUGAAGAGGGAAACAACCCAGACCGCCAGCUAAGGUCCCAAAGUCAUGGUUAAGUGGGAAACGAUGUGGGAAGGCCCAGACAGCCAGGAUGUUGGCUUAGAAGCAGCCAUCAUUUAAAGAAAGCGUAAUAGCUCACUGGUCGAGUCGGCCUGCGCGGAAGAUGUAACGGGGCUAAACCAUGCACCGAAGCUGCGGCAGCGACGCUUAUGCGUUGUUGGGUAGGGGAGCGUUCUGUAAGCCUGCGAAGGUGUGCUGUGAGGCAUGCUGGAGGUAUCAGAAGUGCGAAUGCUGACAUAAGUAACGAUAAAGCGGGUGAAAAGCCCGCUCGCCGGAAGACCAAGGGUUCCUGUCCAACGUUAAUCGGGGCAGGGUGAGUCGACCCCUAAGGCGAGGCCGAAAGGCGUAGUCGAUGGGAAACAGGUUAAUAUUCCUGUACUUGGUGUUACUGCGAAGGGGGGACGGAGAAGGCUAUGUUGGCCGGGCGACGGUUGUCCCGGUUUAAGCGUGUAGGCUGGUUUUCCAGGCAAAUCCGGAAAAUCAAGGCUGAGGCGUGAUGACGAGGCACUACGGUGCUGAAGCAACAAAUGCCCUGCUUCCAGGAAAAGCCUCUAAGCAUCAGGUAACAUCAAAUCGUACCCCAAACCGACACAGGUGGUCAGGUAGAGAAUACCAAGGCGCUUGAGAGAACUCGGGUGAAGGAACUAGGCAAAAUGGUGCCGUAACUUCGGGAGAAGGCACGCUGAUAUGUAGGUGAAGUCCCUCGCGGAUGGAGCUGAAAUCAGUCGAAGAUACCAGCUGGCUGCAACUGUUUAUUAAAAACACAGCACUGUGCAAACACGAAAGUGGACGUAUACGGUGUGACGCCUGCCCGGUGCCGGAAGGUUAAUUGAUGGGGUCAGCGCAAGCGAAGCUCUUGAUCGAAGCCCCGGUAAACGGCGGCCGUAACUAUAACGGUCCUAAGGUAGCGAAAUUCCUUGUCGGGUAAGUUCCGACCUGCACGAAUGGCGUAAUGAUGGCCAGGCUGUCUCCACCCGAGACUCAGUGAAAUUGAACUCGCUGUGAAGAUGCAGUGUACCCGCGGCAAGACGGAAAGACCCCGUGAACCUUUACUAUAGCUUGACACUGAACAUUGAGCCUUGAUGUGUAGGAUAGGUGGGAGGCUUUGAAGUGUGGACGCCAGUCUGCAUGGAGCCGACCUUGAAAUACCACCCUUUAAUGUUUGAUGUUCUAACGUUGACCCGUGAUCCGGGUUGCGGACAGUGUCUGGUGGGUAGUUUGACUGGGGCGGUCUCCUCCUAAAGAGUAACGGAGGAGCACGAAGGUUGGCUAAUCCUGGUCGGACAUCAGGAGGUUAGUGCAAUGGCAUAAGCCAGCUUGACUGCGAGCGUGACGGCGCGAGCAGGUGCGAAAGCAGGUCAUAGUGAUCCGGUGGUUCUGAAUGGAAGGGCCAUCGCUCAACGGAUAAAAGGUACUCCGGGGAUAACAGGCUGAUACCGCCCAAGAGUUCAUAUCGACGGCGGUGUUUGGCACCUCGAUGUCGGCUCAUCACAUCCUGGGGCUGAAGUAGGUCCCAAGGGUAUGGCUGUUCGCCAUUUAAAGUGGUACGCGAGCUGGGUUUAGAACGUCGUGAGACAGUUCGGUCCCUAUCUGCCGUGGGCGCUGGAGAACUGAGGGGGGCUGCUCCUAGUACGAGAGGACCGGAGUGGACGCAUCACUGGUGUUCGGGUUGUCAUGCCAAUGGCACUGCCCGGUAGCUAAAUGCGGAAGAGAUAAGUGCUGAAAGCAUCUAAGCACGAAACUUGCCCCGAGAUGAGUUCUCCCUGACUCCUUGAGAGUCCUGAAGGAACGUUGAAGACGACGACGUUGAUAGGCCGGGUGUGUAAGCGCAGCGAUGCGUUGAGCUAACCGGUACUAAUGAACCGUGAGGCUUAACCU
rnacentral:rRNA from 1 species